UACAGAGGUCCCAAGCGUUGUUCGGAUUCACUGGGCGUAAAGGGUGCGUAGGCGGUCGGGUAAGUCUGACGUGAAAUCUCCGGGCCUAACCGGAACUGCGUUGGAAACUGCCUGGCUAGAGGAAUGGAGGGAGACUGGAAUACUUGGUGUAGCAGUGAAUGCGUAGAUAUCAAGUGGAACACCAGUGGCGAAGGCGAGUCUCUGGACAUUUCCUGACGCUGAGGCACGAAAGCCAGGGGAGCAAACGGG
rnacentral:rRNA from 1 species